rnacentral:rRNA from 1 species
UACGGGGGGGGCAAGCGUUGUUCGGAAUUACUGGGCGUAAAGGGCUCGUAGGCGGCCAACUAAGUCGGAUGUGAAAUCCCCAGGCUUAACCUGGGAACUGCAUCCGAUACUGGAUGGCUUGAAUCCGGGAGAGGGAUGCAGAAUUCCAGGUGUAGCGGUGAAAUGCGUAGAUAUCUGGAGGAACACCGGUGGCGAAGGCGGCAUCCUGGACCGACACUGACACUGAAAAGCGAAAGCCAGGGGAGCAAACGGG